CCAAUAGCGUAUAUUAAAGUUGUUGCAGUUAAAAAGCUCGUAGUUGAAUUUCGGGAUCAAUGUUUCGGUCAUGCCGUUGGUAUGUACUGAUAUUAUUGGUUUCUCACCUUCUAAAGAACCAUGAUGUCAUUAAUUUGGUGUUAUGGGGAGUUAGGACUGUUACUUUGAAAAAAUUAGAGUGUUUAAAGCAGGCUUUAGCUUGAAUACAUUAGCAUGGAAUAAUGAAAUAGGACGUUCGAACCUAUUUUGUUGGUUUCUAGGAUCAACGUAAUGAUUAAUAGGGAUAGUUGGGGGCAUUAGUAUUCAAUUGUCAGAGGUGAAAUUCUUGGAUUUAUUGAAGACUAACUACUGCGAAAGUAUUUGCCAAGGAUGUUUUCAUUAAUCAAGAACGAAAGUUAGGGGAUCGAAGACGAUCAGAUACCGUCGUAGUCUUAACCAUAAACUAUGCCGACUAGGGAUCGGAUGAUGUUAAUUUUUUAAUGACUCAUUCGGCGCCUUACG
rnacentral:rRNA from 1 species